UGUGUGCAGACCUAGCUCCUGGGUCUGGAACUUGGCAGAGGUACCUACUACCAAUUCUUGGAAGAACUGUGCGGGUUCCCUGGGCAGAAUCAGACCCAGAGCCAGAAGAAGAAUGCCCUUAGAGAAGGAAAAGGCUGCAUCUCGGACGGCCUUUCCCCCUUAGGUUCAGCAGGAUCCUGCCACCCACUGUGCAGACUUACUGGGACUGUGAACCCUUCCAGUUGCAGGGAGGUCUUAGGGAAACAUAGGGGAUGGGCCUGGCACAAGGACAGUUGUACAGAGCAGCCUGAAGCAGUGCACACAUGAUAGUAUCUGCAGAACACCUAACCAAUGGGCACUGCCCAUUCUCCUGUGCUCUACACUGUACAACGCUGAACCAAUGGGCACUGCCCACUCUCCUGUGCUCUGCACUGUACAAUGCUGAACCAAUGGGUACUGCCCACUCUCCUGCACUCUGUACUAUACAAUGCUGAUCCAAUGGGUACUGCCCACUCUCCUGUCUUCUGCACUGUACAACGCUGAACCAAUGGGCACUACCCACUCUCCUGCACUCUGCACUGUACAACGCUGAACCAAUAGGUACUUGGUUCUAAUAGCAAUAGCAACAGCUUCUCCUGUGCUCUGCACUGUACAAGGCCAACAGCUUCACUCAUCCUU
rnacentral:lncRNA from 1 species